AGCUGAAGAGAGCCGUCUAUUGACAGUUCGUUUCUAUACUUAUGUACUGUCAUGGAGUCGCUCUCUUCAGAUGA
rnacentral:pre_miRNA from 14 species